rnacentral:lncRNA from 1 species
CUAGUUCAACCAAUUCAAAAAUAUAUCCUUCAAUAAAAAAUUUUCCACAUCUAGAUAACAAUUAAUCAUGACUAUUGUGCUCAAAGUAAUUCAAAAUCUCACAAUAGAUAAGCACUUUUUUUGAAAAAAUUAUGCACAAAUAGCAUAUUUGGUCAUGUAUGCAUAACUCAUGAAUCAAUAACAAUUUCAAACAUCAAAACCAUGCAA